GCUGAUGCGUUGUUGGGUAGGGGAGCGUUCUGUAAGCCUGCGAAGGUGACCUGUGAGGGUUGCUGGAGGUAUCAGAAGUGCGAAUGCUGACAUAAGUAACGAUAAAGCGGGUGAAAAGCCCGCUCGCCGGAAGACCAAGGGUUCCUGUCCAACGUUAAUCGGGGCAGGGUGAGUCGACCCCUAAGGCGAGGCCGAAAGGCGUAGUCGAUGGGAAACGGGUUAAUAUUCCCGUACUUGGUGUUACUGCGAAGGGGGGACGGAGAAGGCUAUGUUGGCCGGGCGACGGUUGUCCCGGUUUAAGCGUGUAGGUGUGUGUUCCAGGUAAAUCCGGUUCACUUUAACACUGAGGCGUGAUGACGAGGCACUACGGUGCUGAAGCAACAAAUGCCCUGCUUCCAGGAAAAGCCUCUAAGCAUCAGGUAACAUCAAAUCGUACCCCAAACCGACACAGGUGGUCAGGUAGAGAAUACCAAGGCGCUUGAGAGAACUCGGGUGAAGGAACUAGGCAAAAUGGUGCCGUAACUUCGGGAGAAGGCACGCUGACACGUAGGUGAAGUGAUUUACUCACGGAGCUGAAGUCAGUCGAAGAUACCAGCUGGCUGCAACUGUUUAUUAAAAACACAGCACUGUGCAAACACGAAAGUGGACGUAUACGGUGUGACGCCUGCCCGGUGCCGGAAGGUUAAUUGAUGGGGUCAGCGCAAGCGAAGCUCCUGAUCGAAGCCCCGGUAAACGGCGGCCGUAACUAUAACGGUCCUAAGGUAGCGAAAUUCCUUGUCGGGUAAGUUCCGACCUGCACGAAUGGCGUAAUGAUGGCCAGGCUGUCUCCACCCGAGACUCAGUGAAAUUGAACUCGCUGUGAAGAUGCAGUGUACCCGCGGCAAGACGGAAAGACCCCGUGAACCUUUACUAUAGCUUGACACUGAACAUUGAGCCUUGAUGUGUAGGAUAGGUGGGAGGCUUUGAAGUGUGGACGCCAGUCUGCAUGGAGCCGACCUUGAAAUACCACCCUUUAAUGUUUGAUGUUCUAACGUGGACCCGUAAUCCGGGUUGCGGACAGUGUCUGGUGGGUAGUUUGACUGGGGCGGUCUCCUCCUAAAGAGUAACGGAGGAGCACGAAGGUUGGCUAAUCCUGGUCGGACAUCAGGAGGUUAGUGCAAUGGCAUAAGCCAGCUUGACUGCGAGCGUGACGGCGCGAGCAGGUGCGAAAGCAGGUCAUAGUGAUCCGGUGGUUCUGAAUGGAAGGGCCAUCGCUCAACGGAUAAAAGGUACUCCGGGGAUAACAGGCUGAUACCGCCCAAGAGUUCAUAUCGACGGCGGUGUUUGGCACCUCGAUGUCGGCUCAUCACAUCCUGGGGCUGAAGUAGGUCCCAAGGGUAUGGCUGUUCGCCAUUUAAAGUGGUACGCGAGCUGGGUUUAGAACGUCGUGAGACAGU
rnacentral:rRNA from 1 species